rnacentral:snRNA from 1 species
GUGCUCACUUUGGCAGCACAUAUACUAAAAUGGGAAUGAUACAGAGAAGAUUAGCAUGGCCCUUGAGCAGGGGUAACACACAAAUUUAUGUAGCAUUCUAUAUUUUU